UAACCUGCCCAAGAGAUCGGGAUAACACCUGGAACCAGAUGCUAAUACCGGAUAACAACAGAUGAUGCCUAUCAACUGUUUAAAAGAUGGUUCUGCUAUCACUCUUGGAUGGACCUGCGGUGCAUUAGCUAGUUGGUAGGGUAACGGCCUACCAAGGCGAUGAUGCAUAGCCGAGUUGAGAGACUGAUCGGCCACAUUGGGACUGAGACACGGCCCAAACUCCUACGGGAGGCAGCAGUC
rnacentral:rRNA from 1 species